GCAUAUUUCACGUUUGUGCGUGAUUCUGACAACCAUUUUUCAUCAUUAAAUCUAUUUUUAUCUCAUUGGUUGUGUUUGUUAGAUUCACGCACAAACUCGUAAUAUGACU
rnacentral:pre_miRNA from 1 species